rnacentral:rRNA from 1 species
UACGAAGGGUGCAAGCGUUACUCGGAAUUACUGGGCGUAAAGCGUGCGUAGGUGGUGAGUUAAGUCUGUCGUGAAAGCCCCGGGCUCAACCUGGGAAUGGCGAUGGAUACUGGCUCGCUAGAGUGCGGUAGAGGAGAGUGGAAUUCCCGGUGUAGCAGUGAAAUGCGUAGAGAUCGGGAGGAACAUCAGUUGCGAAGGCGGCUCUCUGGACCAGCACUGACACUGAGGCACGAAAGUGUGGGGAGCGAACAGG